rnacentral:rRNA from 1 species
AACGAACGCUGGCGGCAUGCCUAACACAUGCGAGUCGAACGAGACCUUCGGGUCUAGUGGCGCACGGGUGCGUAACGCGUGGGAACCUGCCCUUAGGUUCGGAAUAACUCCCCGAAAGGGGUGCUAAUACCGGAUAAUGUCUUCGGACCAAAGAUUUAUCGCCUUUGGAUGGGCCCGCGUUGGAUUAGCUAGUUGGUAGGGUAAAAGCCUACCAAGGCGACGAUCCAUAGCUGGUCUGAGAGGAUGAUCAGCCACACUGGGACUGAGACACGGCCCAGACUCCUACGGGAGGCAGCAGUGGGGAAUAUUGGACAAUGGGCGAAAGCCUGAUCCAGCAAUGCCGCGUGAGUGAUGAAGGCCUUAGGGUUGUAAAGCUCUUUUACCCGGGAUGAUAAGGACAGUACCGGGAGAAUAAGCUCCGGCUAACUCCGU